GCCUAACACAUGCAAGUCGAACGCUGUAGCAAUACAGAGUGGCAGACGGGUGAGUAACGCGUGGGAACGUGCCUUUCGGUUCGGAAUAACUCAGGGAAACUUGAGCUAAUACCGGAUACGCCCUUCGGGGGAAAGAUUUAUUGCCGAAAGAUCGGCCCGCGUCCGAUUAGCUAGUUGGUGUGGUAAUGGCGCACCAAGGCGACGAUCGGUAGCUGGUCUGAGAGGAUGAUCAGCCACACUGGGACUGAGACACGGCCCAGACUCCUACGGGAGGCAGCAGUGGGGAAUAUUGGACAAUGGGCGCAAGCCUGAUCCAGCCAUGCCGCGUGAGUGAUGAAGGCCCUAGGGUUGUAAAGCUCUUUCGCCAGGGACGAUAAUGACGGUACCUGGAUAAGAAGCCCCGGCUAACUUCGUGCCAGCAGCCGCGGUAAUACGAAGGGGGCUAGCGUUGUUCGGAAUCACUGGGCGUAAAGCGCACGUAGGCGGAUCUUUAAGUCAGGGGUGAAAUCCCGAGGCUCAACCUCGGAACUGCCUUUGAUACUGGAGGUCUCGAGUCCGGGAGAGGUGAGUGGAACUGCGAGUGUAGAGGUGAAAUUCGUAGAUAUUCGCAAGAACACCAGUGGCGAAGGCGGCUCACUGGCCCGGAACUGACGCUGAGGUGCGAAAGCGUGGGGAGCAA
rnacentral:rRNA from 1 species